rnacentral:rRNA from 1 species
UACGUAGGCAGCAAGCGUUGUUCGGAGUUACUGGGCGUAAAGGGUGUGUAGGCGGUUGUUUAAGUUUGGGGUGAAAUCUCCCGGCUCAACUGGGAGGGUGCGCCGAAUACUGAAUGACUAGAGUGCGGGAGAGGAAAGUGGAAUUCCUGGUGUAGCGGUGAAAUGCGUAGAUAUCAGGAGGAACACCUGCGGUGUAGACGGCUUUCUGGACCAUUGCUGACGCUGAGACACGAAAG